UAGGGAAUCUUCGGCAAUGGACGAAAGUCUGACCGAGCAACGCCGCGUGAGUGGAGAAGGUUUUCGGAUCGUAAAACUCUGUUGGUAGAGAAGAACGUUGGUGAGAGUGGAAAGCUCAUCAAGUGACGGUAACUACCCAGAAAGGGACGGCUAACUACGUGUCAG
rnacentral:rRNA from 1 species